GACGAACCGAGCGAACGUUGUUCGGAAUCACUGGGCUUAAAGGGCGCGUAGGCGGGCUGCCAAGUCCGGGGUGAAAUCCGUCGGCUUAACCGGCGAAUGGCCUCGGAUACUGGCGGCCUGGAGGGAGGUAGGGGCGUGCGGAACUGUGGGUGGAGCGGUGAAAUGCGUUGAGAUCCACAGGAACUCCGGUGGCGAAGGCGGCACGCCUGGACCGAUACUGACGCUGAGGAGCGGAAAGCCAGGGGAGCAAACGGG
rnacentral:rRNA from 1 species